GAUGAAGAACGUAGCGAAAUGCGAUACUUGGUGUGAAUUGCAGAAUCCCGUGAACCAUCGAGUCUUUGAACGCAAGUUGCGCCUCAAGCCAUUAGGUUGAGGGCACGUCUGCCUGGGCGUCACAUAUCGUUGCCUGAUGCCAGUUUCCUCGUGAUGGGUGACUGUGCAGGGCGAAUGAUGGCUUCCCGUGAGCAUUGUUGCCUCAUGGUUGGUUGAAAAUUGAGUCCUUGGUAGGGAGCGCCGUGAUAGAUGGUGGUUGAGUGACGAACGAGACCCAAUCAUGUGAGACCCCUACCGAAUUUGGCCUUCAUGACCCACAUGCGUCUUUGGAACGCUCAUGACGAGACCUCAGGACAGGCGGGGCUACCCGCUGAGUUUAAGCAUAUCAAUAAGCGGAGGA
rnacentral:misc_RNA from 1 species